AGCAGCCGCGGUAAUUCCAGCUCCAAUAGCGUAUAUUAAAGUUGUUGCAGUUAAAAAGCUCGUAGUUGAAUUUCGGGAUCAAUAUGUCGGUCGUGCCUUCGGUACGUACUGGUAUCAUUGGUCUCUCCUUUCUGACGAACCAUGAUGUCAUUAAUUUGGUGUUAUGGGGAGUUAGGACUGUUACUUUGAAAAAUUAGAGUGUUUAAAGCAGGCUUUAGCUUGAAUACAUUAGCAUGGAAUAAUGAAAUAGGACGUUCGAACCUAUUUUGUUGGUUUCUAGGAUCAACGUAAUGAUUAAUAGGGAUAGUUGGGGGCAUUAGUAUUCAAUUGUCAGAGGUGAAAUUCUUGGAUUUAUUGAAGACUAACUACUGCGAAAGCAUUUGCCAAGGAUGUUUUCAUUAAUCAAGAACGAAAGUUAGGGGAUCGAAGACGAUCAGAUACCGUCGUAGUCUUAACCAUAAACUAUGCCGACUAGGGAUCGGAUGAUGUUAAUUUUUUAAUGACUCAUUCGGCGCCUUAC
rnacentral:rRNA from 1 species